rnacentral:tRNA from 1 species
CCAUUGGUGGUUCAGUGGUAGAAUUCUCGCCUUCAGUGCAGGAGACCUGGGUUCAAUUCUCAGCCACUGCA